UGCACGUGACAGCGCCACCUCCGCCU
rnacentral:piRNA from 1 species